rnacentral:rRNA from 1 species
UACGGAGGGUGCAAGCGUUAUCCGGAUUCACUGGGUUUAAAGGGUGCGUAGGUGGAAUGGUAAGUCAGUGGUGAAAUCUCCAAGCUUAACUUGGAACUGCCGUUGAUACUAUCAUUCUUGAAUAUCGUGGAGGUGAGCGGAAUAUGUCAUGUAGCGGUGAAUGACUUAGAUAUGACAUAGAACACCGAUUGCGAAGGCAGCUCACUACACGAUCAUUGACACUGAGGCACGAAAGCGUGGGGAGCAAACAGG